AUACGGAGGAUGCGAGCGUUAUCCGGAUUUAUUGGGUUUAAAGGGAGCGUAGGUGGGAUAUUAAGUCAGCUGUGAGAGUUUGGGGCUCAACCUUAAAAUUGCAGUUGAUACUGGUUUCCUUGAGUACGGUACAGGUGGGCGGAAUUCGUGGUGUAGCGGUGAAAUGCUUAGAUAUCACGAAGAACUCCGAUCGCGAAGGCAGCUCACCGGGCCGGAACUGACACUGAUGCUCGAAAGUGCGGGUAUCAAACAGGAUUAGAUACCCUGGUAGUCCACACGGUAAACGAUGAAUACUCGCUGUUUGCGAUAUACAGCAAGCGGCCAAGCGAAAGCGUUAAGUAUUCCACCUGGGGAGUACGCCGGCAACGGUGAAACUCAAAUGAAUUGACGGGG
rnacentral:rRNA from 1 species